rnacentral:tRNA from 3 species
GUCCCGUUCGUCUAGAGGCCUAGGACACCGCCCUUUCACGGCGGCAACACGGGUUCGAAUCCCGUACGGGAUACCA